rnacentral:tRNA from 2 species
GCCGGGCUGGCGGAACGGUAGACGCGGGCGACUCAAAAUCGUCUGUCCGGAAGGACGUAGGGGUUCGAGUCCCCUGCCCGGUA